rnacentral:rRNA from 1 species
AGAGUUUGAUCAUGGCUCAGAACGAACGCUGGCGGCAGGCUUAACUCAUGCAAGUCGAGCGGGAAGCAUCCUUCGGGAUGUGGAGAGCGGCAGACGGGUGAGUAACACGUGGGAACGUACCCUUUGGUUCGGAACAACUCCGGGAAACUGGAGCUAAUACCGGAUAAGCCCUGUGGGGGAAAGAUUUAUCGCCGAAGGAUCGGCCCGCGUCUGAUUAGCUUGUUGGUGGGGUAAUGGCCCACCAAGGCGACGAUCAGUAGCUGGUCUGAGAGGAUGAUCAGCCACAUUGGGACUGAGACACGGCCCAAACUCCUACGGGAGGCAGCAGUGGGGAAUAUUGGACAAUGGGCGCAAGCCUGAUCCAGCCAUGCCGCGUGAGUGAUGAAGGCCUUAGGGUUGUAAAGCUCUUUCGCACGCGACGAUAAUGACGGUAGCGUGACAAGAAGCCCCGGCUAACUUCGUGCCAGCAGCCGCGGUAAUACGAAGGGGGCUAGCGUUGUUCGGAAUCACUGGGCGNNAAAGCGCAUGCAGGCGGGUCGUUAAGUUAGGGGUGAAAUCCCGAGGCUCAACCUCGGAACUGCCUCUAAUACUGGCGAUCUUGAGUCCGGGAGAGGUGAGUGGAACUGCGAGUGUAGAGGUGAAAUUCGUAGAUAUUCGCAAGAACACCAGUGGCGAAGGCGGCUCACUGGCCCGGGUACUGACGCUCAGGUGCGAAAGCGUGGGGAGCAAACAGGAUUAGAUACCCUAGUAGUCC